ACCCCUGGGAACAGGAGUGAUGAGUGUGAGAAGAGCUCUGAGACUCCCUCUCCGACACAGAGCUGUGUCUACAGCCUCUCCAAAAACAACCUCAGCCCUUCUGAUGCUGGGACUUACUACUGUGCCAUGUGGUGAGAUCCUGUUGGGCAAUGGAACAGAAUUGGACAUGGCCACUGACACGAAAUGCAAUGAGUCAGAAAAGGCUAUGGUAGUGGUUGUUUUGGCAGUGGCGUUGGUGUUGUGUGGGAUUGGGAUCAUCUUCCUUGCCUGCAACAGAAGUAAAAACAAGUCUGUGAAAAUUGUCAAGCAGUAGAUGCCUGUCGGGGAGGAAGACAUGAUGGAUUAAGGGGAGAACAGGAUCAAAAUGGAGUUACGUUGAAUUAUGCUGCAUUGAAUUAUACUGCAUUGAAAACUAAAAGAGGAAGAAAGAAGAGAGACACCACAGGAGACUGUGUACUCUGAUGUCAGGUACUCAGACUGGGAGUGAACGUCAUCUAUGUGCAGAGUGAACUUAGCAUAAUCAAUCUAAAAUGUAACAUUAAUAAUACUUACAAUUGUAAGUCAGUGCCACUUCUACACAGAGAAUUUGAAAAUAUGAGAAUAUCACACAUUUAAUAAAACAUGUAUAAAAAUCAUGAUCAAGCAGAACAUUAAUUCACUCAAUGGAAGAAAAGCUAUAGUUUCUCUUAAAGGGAUAUGUUUCUCCCCCAAAAUGUUUUAAAUGUUUUGUUAGUCCGCUGGAUA